rnacentral:rRNA from 1 species
CAGGGAUCCCCUAGUACGGCGAGUGAAGCGGGAACAGCUCAAAUUUGAAAUCUGGCCCUCGGGUCCGAGUUGUAAUUUGUAGAGGAUGCUUUUGGUGCGGUGCCUUCCGAGUUCCCUGGAACGGGACGCCUUAGAGGGUGAGAGCCCCGUACGGUUGGACGCCUAGCCUCUGUAAAGCUCCUUCGACGAGUCGAGUAGUUUGGGAAUGCUGCUCUAAAUGGGAGGUAUAUUUCUUCUAAAGCUAAAUACUGGCCAGAGACCGAUAGCGCACAAGUAGAGUGAUCGAAAGAUGAAAAGCACUUUGAAAAGAGGGUUAAAUAGCACGUGAAAUUGUUGAAAGGGAAGCGUUUAUCACCAGACUUUUUCUAGGGGGAUCAUCCGGUGUUCUCACCGGUGCACUUCCCCUAGUUGAGGCCAGCAUCGGUUUUCGGAGGGGGAUAAAAGUUUCGGGAAUGUGACUCCCCCGGGAGUGUUAUAGCCCGUUACAUAAUACCCUUCUGGGGACCGAGGUUCGCGCAUCUGCAAGGAUGCUGGCAUAAUGGUGAUCAACGACCCGUCUUGAAACACGGACCAAGGAGUCGAACAUUUAUGCGAGUGUUUGGGUGUCAAACCCUCACGCGUAAUGAAAGUGAACGGAGGUGAGAGCCCUUACGGGUGCAUCAUCGACCGAUCCUGAUGUCUUCGGAUGGAUUUGAGUAAGAGCAUAACUGUUCGGACCCGAAAGAUGGUGAACUAUGCGUGGAUAGGGUGAAGCCAGGAGAAAUCCUGGUGGAGGCUCGCAGCGGUUCUGACGUGCAAAUCGAUCGUCAAAUCUGCGCAUGGGGGGCGAAAGACUAAUCGA